CUGCCUUUUCCAGCAUGAGAUUAUUCACUCGACGAUGUCACGACUCCCAAGUCUGAUGUCAUGGUUGUUUCCACAGCAACCAAAUUGAAUCAAGGAAUUAAAAACCAGGAGGAACUCACACAGAAUGGCAACACAACACAGGAGUGCCAUGAAGCAAGCCAUACCCUGCACAUGAUCCAAGAUCUCAACACGCCCAGCUGGUACAGUGCUAGCAUAGCUCAGCGAGGAAUAGCACAGCAUUGGAAACUCAGCACCUUGGCAUUGCACUGCUUUCUGAAUCCUGAUUAAAGGACACAAAAACGUGGUGGCACUGCAGGACUACUCCCGCUGGGGAUUAGGGUAGGGUUGCAGGGAGUGUCUCCUCCCACUGCAGCCCCUGUUUCCAUGCAGCCUCAGGGCACCUGGUGCAACCUCUGCCCACCUACAGGUGCCCAGCAGAGCUGCAGCUCCCCUUGGCCUGUGCAAUAUUCAGUGCUCAGAGACUGUGCUGCUCCUUGCUGGAGGAAGCCUGUAUUGCUAAUGGGAGAGGACAGAAGGAUGCAAGAUGAGCUGCUGUGCCAAGACUGCAUCAUUCUUUUCAGCCUCAGAGGUUUCCCCUAGACCCUCCUGCACUCAUCUUCCUCACCUGCAGGAGAUGCAUGCCUUGCCUUUCACUUGCCACAUGCAUCCUGCUCACUGUGCUUCAGUUUCUGAUGAUGCUGAAUACUCUCUUGCCCAACCCAAAGCCCCAAACCACCCCACUGUCCCACCCCUGUGUGAUACACCCUUUUCAGCACCCCACUGCAAAUGCUGGAGCAAAAAGUCCUGCUCCCCUAGCCAGACUGGGGCGAUCCAUGGCACACAGAGCAGGCAGCCCUCCUCAUAUGAAGGCUGCUUGAAGGAGAGUAUUUUUGCUGUGUCAGCAUCUCUGCUUCUCUAUCCCCUGUGUUUGCUGAUUGCAUCCUUGAAGCGUCACUGUCACGUUAGGUUUUCAGCAUGGAGCUGAGCCCUGAGCUCGGAGGGACAUGGAAAUCUGGGGAGGUCUUCUUCAGCAGAGUGCGAGAGGGGACAAAAAAAAAAGAGAAAGAGAAGGAACAACAUCUGCCUCCUCCUCCUGCCUUCUCCUUCCAUUCAACAGCAAGGCUCUUGCUCGAUUGGUAUGUGAUUGCUGAUGCUGUGAGAAGUGCUUGGGAGCCACCAGGUCAGGAUAAAGAGUCAGCACUGCCUACUCUGGGGCAAGGUGGAGGAACUUGGCAGAACCCCAGGACCUGGCAGCACACUCCUGGCAGUGCAGGAACCGAUGCUCGCACCAAGGAUGUGCCAUUCUCCAAAUCACUGCUGCUCACAGAGCUGCUGAAGAUAAACUUGACCUGUGUUACUGUGUCCAUCCUUUGGGUAUGCUGGAGAAAUCACUCCAGCUCUGUUCAACACCUGGGGCUGCACGUGGACUUCUAAUUAGAGUAAAUCUUCAUUUCUUGGAAACAUGAACUAAUGGAGAGUCACAUUUUUGUGUAAGAAAACAUGCCGUGUUUUUCUUCUGCAGAUGCAGCUGAAAAAAAAAAAUACCUCAGCAUAGCCUGAAGAUGUAAAAGAGAGGAGACACAUAAACAAGAAUUCAAAAUGUAUUAUAAAAACCUCAUGCAUUUUUUCAGCUACUCUCAUGCUGUUUGAACACGUAAAGCUGGGCACACUCUGGCUGCAGUCGAAGUAUCUCCUACGAUAGCUCUGCUGGAGCUGAGACGAGCUACAUCAGCAGACAAUUGGGCCCAUAAUUUUUCUUCACGAUUGGCAAUUUAAAAAAUAAUCUCUGAAGGCAGUGAGUGUUUGAGCACUGUUAGCUCAGCUCAUGCUGCCGCUCUCCCAUAGUGCUCCAUCCUGACCCAGGCCGUGUGCUGCCUGCAGCCCCAACAAUAUCAUGGCCUGGAGCUGGGGGGCUCAUCAGAGCACCCUGACCGUGCUACCUCUCAGCCCUGUCCUCUCACUUUCCCAAAUUGCCAUAAAACAUAAAGGCCAUCCGACGUUGCUUCUAUUUCAACAGCAAUGCCACAUCCUCCCUUCUGCUGGAGGGUAACUGAGGCACAGAGGGGAUGUCUUUUGGUGAACAAAGUGUAGCAAAAAUGCUAAGUCAAGACUUGAAGCAGUGAUGGAGCACCUGGUGGGAAGACAGGGCCAACCCAGGGGAGCUCAGGUGCAUGCAAUGUACCUGAGUGACCAGAGGGGAUGGAGCCAGGAUCCACCCUUCCCAGACCUCAUUUAAGGGUUGGCAGUGGAGGUAAGAGUGUUUUGCUGGAAAUCUCUUUGCACCUGAGGCCUUCUGAAGGUAAGCAGCUUCUUUCCUUUGUUUCUGUGCCCACAGCUGUUGCAUUUGAGCAAAUCCUUACUUGCUGUAGCCUAGGACUUUAUUGCUCUGCUGCCAUUGCUGAGCUUUCCAUCGUGUUGCACGAAGUUAAAAGGGAUCUC
ensembl:lncRNA